GACGUAGGAGGCGAGCGUUGUCCGGAUUCAUUGGGCGUAAAGAGCACGCAGGCGGUUUGUUGCGUCAGCUGUGAAAACCCGCGGCUCAACCGCGGGCCGCAUUCGAUACGGGCAGGCUAGAGUUCGGUAGGGGAGACUGGAAUUCCUGGUGUAGCGGUGAAAUGCGCAGAUAUCAGGAGGAACACCGAUGGCGAAGGCAGGUCUCUGGGGCCAUACUGACGUGAGGA
rnacentral:rRNA from 1 species